UGUGGAGUAGGCAGAGGACAAUUGAACAUUUUGCAAAAGGAUGAUGCCUUCCUUAUAUUUAAUUGGCUGGCCUCUGUCUUGUUCCCUCUGGGGCUGGGAGUGGAUUCCUGGGCUCCACUUUUCUGCUCUCCUUACAGCCUGGUGCCAUGCACUGCAUGGCUUCAUGCCUCAGUUUCCUCCUCCACAUGUAGGAUCCCUGGUUUCCAUCCUCCUGGGCCUGAAGGCCUUGGUCUCCCUACAGAUAAGUGGCAAAUACUACUCGGAUUGUUACUCCAUGCUGAACCAUAGCUUAGCUCUGAGGGCUUUCAACAUACUGAGUAAGUUCAUAUGUUUUCCUAGCCAUGUGUGUGCGUGUGCAUAUGUGUGUGCACAUGCAUGCAUGUGUGUGUGCCCACAUGUGAACUCAGGACCCCUUUAGUCUCUCCCUGGGCCGGAGUUGGGGCCUAGGUUCCUAUGGGAAGGUGGGGGUUCCAACCUCCGAGACAAGAUUCAAAGUAAUUAAUGAGAACUUUGCCUGAAAUUGAGUGAAUCAGAAAGGGCAUAGCCAUGGCCCCACCCCACCCCUAUUGUUCCCACUGCCUCACCUGGGGCUGACUCCCCUUUCUCCUGGCAUGAUCCCUAUUUCAGAAAGGUGCUUAUGACAGGACAGCACUGAUGGGCACAGUGUGCUGCCUGUGGGCAGGUAUGUGGGGCAGGAGGGGCACCUGGCACAUGCUCGGCACAUGGCAAAUGCUGGGUGGACCUGGUUCUCUUUCUUUUUCUUUCGUCCAAGUCAUGGUCAGUGGUUUGCUGUGAGCAUGAUUUAAGCCUGGGUAUUACCUCCCGUUUAAACAUACCCCUGACUGCCCUGUAUUCACAUCCUUCUGAUAGCCAAGUUAUAUGGCAGGGAUCAGCUGGUGAUUUUGCUGGAAAACAUCGUCAAACCCGAGGAGUCUGCCAAGGCAGUGACAACCCCGCAAGUCUUCAGGGAUGUGUCCUGUAGAGGGAGUGGGAAUGGGGCAUGGUCCUGGGGUUCUAGGACUUGAUCGUUCCCAGGAAAUCUCCUUUCUCUGGAGACAGUCUGGUAUAGUAGUUAGAAGCACGAUUUUAAAUGCAGUCAUCUCAGUGGGUUGGGAUCUUGGCUGUGCUUCUCACUAGCUAUGUGGCCUAGAGCAAAUGACUUUUAGUCUGUGCCUCUAUUUCCUCAUUUGAAAAACAGAGGUAAAAAUAAUUGUUACCUUUAGGGAUUUUUAGUGAGGGUGGAGUGAAUAAAUGUGAGGUGCUGAGAACAGGGCCUGCUCUGCAGCUGGUUUUAUAGUGGUUUAUCUGUGAUUACCGCCUGGAAGAGCAGGCUUCACCUCCAGUCAGGUAUGGAUGUUAAGCUUUCGCUGUGCACUAAGCACUGUGACAGGCACGGAGAAUACACAUACAGAAGACAGCCCCUGCCCUUAGCGAGCUCACUGUAGGGUAGGGGGCGAGGCUGUCCACAUGGCGACAGUGCGGGACAACAUGCACUGGGCUGCUUAGACGGGAGCGGCGAUGCCGACAGGAAGGCAAGCAGGAGGAGGUCAGGGAAGCCGGGGUGGGCUUUACAGAGGGGAUGGGCCAAAAGUAGAGAGGAGCCUGUGACCAUGGAUCAGGACAAGGAGGCCACAGGGGAGAGGAGCAGCAGCUGAGGUUGGAAAGGUUGAGAUGGACAGAGGAGAGGACAGCUUGGCUGGAGAGGCGGAUUUGUGUGGGCAGUCAUGGAGACCAGCGAGGGUUGGGGCUCAAAUGCCCUCCUGUGGAAAGUACUGGCCAGGCUGGUGGGUUUCAGUGUGGUUGGAGGCACAGGGAUGGCUGAGAUGCCUGUGGAGACUCCACCUGGCCUUUGACGGCCGGGACUGUACCUGGUGUUCCUCCCGCCCGGCUGUCAUCUGAUGUCUCCCCAAGCAGCAGAGGCGGGGUGGAGGCUGACCUCCAGCUGCACGCCUGUGUUUUCUCUAGUGCCCCAGAGGGAGACCUUGAAGAAGGAGGUGAUGAGUUCAGUGGUUCUGCUGAUACAGAAAGAUCUGAGACCUGUGAGCAUAGAGGCCGUGUGUCUGUGCUGGGAGGGCAAUUGCUUUCUUGAGACCCUGGUGUCAUGUAAAUGGAGAGGAGAGGGAGAUAGGGAAUGAGUAGGAAGGCACCCUCACCAAGCCAAUUCAGGCUCAGACCCCUGUCCUUCAGUUCCAUUUGGGUUCUUUAAAACCAGAGAAGAGUUUGAGAAGUGGAGAGGUGGUGCCUAAAUGCCCCCUUCUGAGCCUGUUCUGUGGGCGGCACUGUUGUGUCCUCAGGGCUCCAAAUGACACUGACUCAGGCCCCAAGAACCCACAGGUUUCUUGGGAGGAGAAAGCCUUGGGCUUCAUGGCUGGAGUGGGACCUGAGAAGCUGUAUUUUUAAGCAGCUCUGCAGUCAGGGGUGCAGGCAGCAGAGACUCCCAGCUCUGGAUGGUGUAGGACAGUGCGUUGGGAUAGCUGCAGCAGGGCAUGCUGGUUUUGAGUGUUAAAUAGAGAACAAUGCAUCAGCCUGAAAAACAAGGGCCCAAUUUCCAGAAGGGUCACAGGAGGCUGGGCUCUUGAGGGCUGGGCCCUCAGGACUUGCCAGAUUGCUUCCUGGCUUUCCCUACAGAGGCCAAAACACGAGACCUUUCCUUCACUUGGAUUCCCCUCCACCAACACUCCUGCCAAUUUCAGUAUCUGCGGGCAUAUGAAGUAUGGGAAGUAAGUUCUUGGAGUUCUCCAGGAGGAUGACAGAGCUGGAGUGGAUCGGAACUUCAGAGCAGAGGACAGAAGUGGGCAGGUCCAGUCACGGGUGGUCUGUCACAGCCACAGCACCCACUGAAGAGUCACAGUGGACUUGGAGUCAGGAGGCCUGAGGUCCUUGAAGACCUCCCUGACCUGCUCUGGUCCACUGUGUGCUCACCUGGAACAAGAGGCCAUCCUGCAGCCCCUUCCUGUCAUGCAUGUGAUGGUCUGUGACCCAAAGGUACACAUGCCCCUGCUGAGCUUCAUCAAGACGCUGGGGCAGCACAGCUACAUGACUCUGCCCCAGGGGAACAUCAUCAUCCACCACCUUGUUGGGCUCAGCCAGCCAGAGCCCUCAGUGAGCAGGACCUGGUGCAAGUGAGGGGACCGAGGGUGGAGUGAGCCAGGGGCAGGGGACAGAGAAGGGAAGGGGUGGGAGCAGAGACACAGAAUAGGGGCCUGGCUGGCCUGACAGGGAGGUGCUUUGGCAUCCACACCCCUGAUCAGUGGGCCAGGGGAGGCCAAUACCUGGGAGAUUCAGUUGGCAUUGGUUCCAUGUCUUGAUCCUUUCUUUUGUUUCUCCAGAAUGAAGAAGAUACCCAGCAGAUGUGUGCCAAGAUUCUACAAAUGGUACAUACAGGUAGGGCCAAAGAGGCCUCUCCAUUUCCUCCUCCCCUGCCUCCCAAGAUCACUAUUCUGCCCCCUUAGACUGCCUUCUUCCUCCCUCCCCUCCAUCUAGCCCCUUGUAGUGUCUCUUCCUCCCCUUCUGAUCUCCAUCUGUUUCUGCUCAAAGGUCGGGGUCUCUUCUGAGACGUGACUCAGUGGAGCGAAAGACGGGCAUUGAAGGUGUCCCUGCCGGUACUCAUAAACCUUCUAUGCCAACCAAGCCACAUCUCGGCCUUCGUGGUCCUCAGCAAGGCAGCCAGGAAGGUGGCUCUGCAGGCCCACUCCCUGGGGCCGCACCCUUACCUCAGCAGCUUCCAUGGCAGGCGUGAGUACAAGGCUGGGUGGUCUAUGGGGAGGGGCAGCCAGGAAGGCUCCAGCUGCUGCAGGCAUGGAGGGCAGUGGGGGCAGGCUGAGGCCCUGCACGGGUGUGAGAUGGGGAGAGGGUACAGCUCUGCGGUGGGGAUGAGGCCACAGAUUGAGCCAGGGCCAGGAUGAGAAGGGGAAGGUCAAAGGUCAGGGAGCAGCCUGAGGCAAUUAGCCCCUGGCAGUGGAGAAAGGGAGCCUCCUUUGGAAGGGAGCCACCGUAGAACCAGUUCCUUGUCACCUUUAGUCCUCUUUUCACAACACUGGCAUCCAGGUGGAAAAGCACUCUUGUUAAUUACAAACUCAUGGCUGCACUGACAGUCCUGCUCCUUUGUCCUCUUUUUGCCCCACUCUGAGCCUGGCUCUAUACUUGUCCCAUCCUUGACCUCUAAACCCAGUGGGGCUAGAGAAGCGGUGAGGGUGUCUGUUCAGCACUUCCUCAGUGGUGUGGUCACUGUUGUUAAAGCUGAAGAUGCAGUGGUGGUCUUUUUUUUUUUUUUUUUAUAGCUGCUUUAUUUGUAGUAGCCCAAACUGGAAGUAAACCAAAUGUCUAUCAAGAGGUGAACAGGUGAAAUGUUCCAUUAUAUCUGUGCAACAUAGUGAACAAUAUAAGGAAAUGAGCAACAUACUGAGAAAUAUAAAUAAAUGAAUUAAUUAUACAUAGCAACAUUGAUGAAUCUCAAAAUAAUGAUG
rnacentral:lncRNA from 10 species